GCAAACGCUAAAAUUAGGAUGGUAAUGAGUGGCUCUGGAUUGCAAGUGGUACUACUUUAGAACAGAAGUAGUAGGUUACAAAAUUAUUAUCAUGCUGGUUUACUUUCUCGUAUCUUCCGUACCCUAGAUACCCUUUGUUUCCACCAAAAUUUUGGCAUCUUUUUAAAGGCUAAAUAGUAGAGAAUGCUCUCUGUUGUGAUGGUUUCUGAAAAUGCAAAGUUACACUACCUUAUUUUGGAUCUUGAUUUCAUGGGUUCUCUCCUGUGUUUUAGAUUGUUCUUUGUUAUAGAGUAUGUAAAUGGAGGAGACCUAAUGUUUCAUAUGCAGCGACAAAGAAAACUUCCUGAAGAACAUGCCAGAUUUUACUCUGCAGAAAUCAGUCUAGCAUUAAAUUAUCUUCAUGAGCGAGGGAUAAUUUAUAGAGAUUUGAAACUGGACAAUGUAUUACUGGACUCUGAAGGCCACAUUAAACUCACUGACUACGGCAUGUGUAAG
rnacentral:sRNA from 1 species